UAGCGAAGGGGGCUAGCGUUGCUCGGAAUCACUGGGGCGUAAAGGGUGCGUAGGCGGGUCUUUAAGUCAGGGGUGAAAAUCCUGGAGCUUAACUCCAGAACUGCCUUUGAUACUGAGAUCUUGAGUUCGGGAGAGGUGAGUGGAACUGCGAGUGUAGAGGUGAAAUUCGUAGAUAUUCGCAAGAACACCAGUGGCGAAGGCGGCUCACUGGCC
rnacentral:rRNA from 1 species